AGUGCAAUUUCUGGAUUGUAGGGGAAGACUCUGUUUAGCUUUGCAGGAAAUUGACAAACUGUCUUCCGAAGUGACUGUACCAUUUUGCUUUCCCAGCAGCAAG
rnacentral:pre_miRNA from 1 species